GUACAUUUGUGCUUAAUGCAAUGCGAUCUCAAUAGGACAUCUGAUGCCACGGGUUUAGUGAAUCCACCCAGAUGGAAGAUUCCAGUAGGCGCAAUAUGACAUUUUUUUCUGUAAGAUGGAAGCAAAUUAAUAUACUUUUAAGUUAAGGUUGUUUUUGUUUAUAUUCCAAACACUAAGCGUAAAUAUUUCAAUUUUUUUUUCCGAUUUAUGUAUUUUGUAAGAAAUCUUGUUUCAUAAAUCAAACAUGACCAAAUACUUUUAGUACCCGAGCGUAGCGAGGGAGCCAUUGGUUUUACUAAG